UACGUAGGGUGCGAGCGUUAAUCGGAAUUACUGGGCGUAAAGCGUGCGCAGGCGGUUUUGUAAGCCAGAUGUGAAAUCCCCGGGCUUAACCUGGGAAUGGCAUUUGGGACUGCAAGGCUUGAGUGUGGCAGAGGAGACUGGAAUUCCUGGUGUAGCAGUGAAAUGCGUAGAUAUCAGGAGGAACACCGAUGGCGAAGGCAGGUCUCUGGGCUAACACUGACGCUCAUGCACGAAAGCGUGGGGGAGCAAACAGG
rnacentral:rRNA from 1 species